GAUGAACGCUGGCGGCGUGCCUAAUACAUGCAAGUCGAGCGAACAGAUGAGGAGCUUGCUCCUCUGACGUUAGCGGCGGACGGGUGAGUAACACGUGGAUAACCUACCUAUAAGACUGGGAUAACUUCGGGAAACCGGAGCUAAUACCGGAUAAUAUAUUGAACCGCAUGGUUCAAUAGUGAAAGACGGUUUUGCUGUCACUUAUAGAUGGAUCCGCGCCGCAUUAGCUAGUUGGUAAGGAACGGCUUACCAAGGCAACGAUGCGUAGCCGACCUGAGAGGGUGAUCGGCCACACUGGAACUGAGACACGGUCCAGACUCCUACGGGAGGCAGCAGUAGGGAAUCUUCCGCAAUGGGCGAAAGCCUGACGGAGCAACGCCGCGUGAGUGAUGAAGGUCUUCGGAUCGUAAAACUCUGUUAUUAGGGAAGAACAAAUGUGUAAGUAACUAUGCACGUCUUGACGGUACCUAAUCAGAAAGCCACGGCUAACUACGUG
rnacentral:rRNA from 1 species